rnacentral:rRNA from 1 species
UGGGGAAUUUUGGACAAUGGGCGAGAGCCUGAUCCAGCAAUGCCGCGUGUGUGAAGAAGGCCUUCGGGUUGUAAAGCACUUUUGUCCGGAAAGAAAUCCUUGGCUCUAAUACAGCCGGGGGAUGACGGUACCGGAAGAAUAAGCACCGGCUAACUACGUGCCAGCAGCCGCGGUAAUACGUAGGGUGCAAGCGUUAAUCGGAAUUACUGGGCGUAAAGCGUGCGCAGGCGGUUUGCUAAGACCGAUGUGAAAUCCCCGGGCUCAACCUGGGAACUGCAUUGGUGACUGGCAGGCUAGAGUAUGGCAGAGGGGGGUAGAAUUCCACGUGUAGCAGUGAAAUGCGUAGAGAUGUGGAGGAAUACCGAUGGCGAAGGCAGCCCCCUGGGCCAAUACUGACGCUCAUGCACGAAAGCGUGGGGAGCAAACAGGAUUAGAUACCCUGGUAGUCCACGCCCUAAACGAUGUCAACUAGUUGUUGGGGAUUCAUUUCCUUAGUAACGUAGCUAACGCGUGAAGUUGACCGCCUGGGGAGUACGGUCGCAAGAUUAAAACUCAAAGGAAUUGACGGGGUCAUAGCUG